CUAAGGAUUAUACGGAAUACACAAAUGGCGCUCUUUGUUUAGUUUUGAGAGGUCAACUCUCAAGAUUGGUCUUUGAAAACUGAAUACUGUAAGGUGAUGAUCUUUUUUUCAGGAGAAGAUCAUGACAAAAAUCCAAUUUUACCAAGCAAUAACCGAAAAGAGAGAAAAAAACUUUUCGCAAAUCAUACACCCUUAACCGAU
rnacentral:misc_RNA from 1 species